rnacentral:tRNA from 1 species
UAGAAUUAAGCUCGCUGGAUAGAGUAUUUAGCUGUUAACUAAACAUUUACGGGAUCAAGGCCCGUUUUUCUAG